rnacentral:misc_RNA from 1 species
UUCCAUUCUGUUCUAAAAUCCCGGUUAGUUUUGCUAACUUGUAUGAUUUUCUUUUGGCUGUAUGCAACAAUUGUUUGAUAUUUCUUAUGCUCUUCUUUCUGCAAAAUUUGUGGUUUUCUUUUUCUUUCCUACCCUUUUGCCUCUGCCUCUCCCUAGUUCAGUUUCUUUUGUUUCUUUCAAUCUGUUGGCUUUAUCUUGUGUGAUCAUGGAAAUUGACUAAUGGGUUUGUUAUAGUUGAGGUAGUGGAAUUACUGUUUAUGGUAGUAGCUUCCCUUUUGUUCUUGAGCUAGACUAAGGAAUUGAGUUUGGGAAGCUGGUAUUUUGCUUUCCCUGCUAAUAUUAAGUUGUUAACUGUUACCGUUGCUGGGAUCAGGUUGAUGGGUCACAUUGCUGAAUAAGUG